CGCCCGCCUGGGGGUCCCUUACAGGGAGGGGGAGGGGGGCUGCACCAGGCAAACGCAGGUGUCACUGCAGACCAGGAUUCCUGGUGUGGGGAAGGGCCCUUGUGACAGCCACUGCGCGUGACACUUCCCCGAGGCCCUCCUCCUCUGAGGUCAGCCUCCUCCAAGCCCUGGAGCACCCCUGGACAGAAGACCCAGCGGGGAACGCAAGCUUAAGGGCAUGUCCAUAGGGUGUCACAGCCCCAGACUAGUCCGAGCAGAAUGAGCAUCCAAGACCCUGGAAAGCACCAGACGCCCCCCCUCCGCCCGCCCCCAAGAGAAAACAGAAAAGUGGAAAAUCCCUGCUUCUUGGGGUAUUAAAGAGCCAUGGUUCGUCAGGAAGGGGUCAAAGCCAACUCACCCAAGGGAAGCUUAGGAGGAACAAACAGGAAUGUCUCCCCUCCGGCUUCCUCUCAGCCUUGGCAGGAAGCCCGAGACAGGUAGAUAACCUCUCUAGUGUGGGCACGGAGGGAGAAGAAGGUGUGGGCCUCAGCGGCUCCGGCUCAUGCCAGCGGGGGUUCCCCCUCAUACCAACAGGAAGCUGCUCUGGGUGAGGACGUGAGCAGCUUCCUAGAAGGGCUGGGAAGACAAGCAGAGUGAACGGACAAGCGUCACAGAGAGCCGACAAGAUUAAACGAACCAGACUGAACACGAUGACAGGAUGACACAACGUCCCCCUCGCCGGAGGAAGGGGACUCCUCCCCCGAGGUCAGCCUCCUGGGUCAGUGGCCUCGGCUUCUUCUGUUCUACCUGCCACGGUGCAUCCCCCAAGUGUCCCAUUCUCUCCCUCCUGAGGGUGACAAGCCCAAAGGAGUCGAGCGCCGGCUCAUGGCUGUCUCACGGCUCCCCAGAGAAGAGGGAGGAAGGUCUGGCGUUUUGGCCCCCUUCACGGCCCUUUCAAAUUUCCGAGCUGCCUUGGCAGACAGGUGGGCUCAGAUCACCCCCUCUGCACCUCCAGUCACUGCCUUCAGGGGACUAGGUUCCCGGGAUCUCAGUCCAGCCUCUGCGACCUUUGGCCACAGCUUUGCCACGUGGAGCUGGCCAUGUGGCCUGAGAGGAGAGACCUGAAGGCAGCAGGAUGCGGCCACAGCAGAGAUGGUGGCCCCAAACCCAAGCAAGCGGUCCUUUCUCCAUUCUCCUGAGAACAAAGGACACAGCAGCUGAGUUUGAGAAAUUACUGAAAAUUUGAAGGUGACGCAUGGAAAUUACACCCUAAAGAUAAGUAUUAGCUUUCACCGUCUGCAGAAUCCAUCCAGCAUCACAGCAUGUUCCCACUGCCAUCUCCCUCCUUAGCUCUAAGCCUUCGCCGGGUGGCUGGAGCCGGGGCCCUCCCUCCUUAUAACCAGUCCGGAGUCCUCCCCUUUUGUGAGCUCACCUCUCCCAUCUCGCUCCAUGAAGACAGCUGAUUACAGGCUAACAACCCAAGCGGGCCCAUCUACACUGGGAUUCCUCUACUCACUGCUACUUGCCACGCAUCAGCCUGCAUGCAGUCGUUCUUUCAUUCCAGCAGUAAUCACUGAACAUGUGUUUUGUACCAAGCAUUGUGCUAGGUUAGGACACAAAAAAGACAGCAGCAGCCCAGACAGACUAGAAAAACCCUGCCUUCGUGGAGGCGAUAAACAGUAAGCAAGUAAAUGAGAAAUUAACUCUGACAAUUACAGAUUUCAAUGCUUUUCAGAUGAUAUGAUAGAGAGGGGUCUCAAGAUGCUGGGAGUGCCAUUAGAAAGGACGGGAAGAGAGGUCUGUCUGGGGAGGUAACCUUGGGAUGAGCUGAGAGCUUCAGCGCUGGACUUCCCACAGCAGGUGAGACAUGGACUGAAGGUGCCAGCAAAGCAGACGGAACAGAAUUUCUUUGAAAAUUUUUAUAUCUAAUAUAUUUUAAAAGACAUGGAAAUAGACAUCUUGGACAAAAUUAGAACGCUCUAUGUCUCCCUUGCACAUGUUUUAAAGUUUAAUGUUGUUUAUCUUGAUUUAUCCAGGCAGAUGAGAGCACCCAGUCUUUUCAAGGAUUAGAACCUCUAAAGUCUUACUCAGGCCCCAGGAGACACCAGAAAGGGGUGUUCCAGGAAGAAGAAGUGCAAGUGCAAAGGUCCUGGGGCAGAAAAGAGCUUGGCCUCUUCUAGAGCUAGGAAGAAGGGACGGCCACCGAGAUAGGAGCUGAAACUGAUGGGCAAGGUAGGCAAGGGCCUGGACUCAGAGAUGGAGUAUUUUCAACACUGGUUAUAGCAGAGAAUUCCCUGAUUUUCUUUCUUUUUUUUUUUUUAAAUUUCUGAUGCCCUACACCUUGCUCCAACAGAAUUAACUGGUCUCCAGUGGGAUUAUGAAAACCGGUAUUUUUUAAAGUUCCUCAGGUGAUUCCAGUUUGUAGCCGGGAUGAAGAACCCCUGACACGGGGCCUCGCAACCAGUCAGAGAGACAGAAAAGUGAAUGAUGAAGAAUACAGACCCCGGGAUCGGACAAUCUGGCUUUCAAUCCCGUUUCUGCCACCGAGUGGUUGUGUGAUCCAAGGCACACUACUUAAGCUUUCCGUUCCUCAGUUUCACCACCUGAAAAAUGGGGGCAGCAGGGAACCCACUUUGUAGAGUUGUUUGCAGGAUUAACAAGUUGAGACAUCCAAUGGUCUCAGAAAGCACGUAUUAAGGAUGCCAUGACGUUUAGAUUUAACCACUCUGUGUGCAUGAUAAUGGCAGCUUGGCCCAGGCUGGAGGCACUGGGGGUGAAGAGGAGUCAACAGAGUUAAUUUACAUAUUUGAAAGUAGAACAAACAGGACUUGCUGAAAAAUUGGCUGACAGAGAUGAGGAAAAGAAGGGAAUAAAACGUGGUUUACGUGUUCGGGACUUUAGCAACUGGAGGGCAAAUGGUAACAUUUUGCCAAGUCAGAGAAGACUAGAAGAGGAACAAAUUUUGAAGAAAAAAAAAAUCCAGAAUUUCAUUUUUUAUGUACUAAGUUAAAGAUGCUCUUAGAUAUCCAAGCAGAGCUACCUAUUAAACAGCUUAAUAUGUAAUCCUGGAGCAGAGGAAAGACACAUUUCAGAGUCAUUAACACAUGGGGGGCUGUCCAAUACGGUAGCCACUAGGCACACUUACAAGGUUACUUAAUUCAAAUCUAUGGUAAUUAAAUUAACAAUUCAGUUCAUCAGGUACUUUCGCCACAUCUCAGGGUGGUGGCUAGCGGCCGCCACAUUGGUCACACAGAUCUGGAACAUUUCCGUUGCUCCAGAGAGAUGGACGGGAUGGAGUCUCAGCCCAUGGGAGCACAGGAGAUCGUCUACGGAAGUGGUUCGCAAUUCGGUCUCGCCCCAGGGAUUCAGAAUCAGUUCAGCUUGGGAGACUUCCAGGCAAGCGUAGUGCGUAAAACCUCUCGGGAUAAUUCCAAAGUGGAGCCAGGGCUGAGAACCACUGACCUAAGGGAAUAAUGCAGGUGGGGAAGCAGGACCAUUAUAGGGCCCUGGGGGCUCCAGCAUUAAUGAGAGUGACUCUCAAGCUUAGCUGAACGAUGGAAUCACCGCUAAGCUCUAAGUGUUACUGAUGUCUGCGUCCUGCUUGGAGAGAUUUCCGAUUGAAUUGGUCUGGAGUGCAGCCUGUUCUUCAGAAAUUCUGAAAGCUCCCCAGUGAUUCCACUGUGCACUCAAGGCUGAGAACCACUGACUGAUAGAGAAAGAUGUCGUGGAGGAGAGCUAGGAAGAAGAAACAAAAGCCAUACGCUGAAAAACAGGAAAUGGAGUUCCCCGGUUGCUCAGCAGGUUAAGGACCCAGCAUUGUCACUGCUGUGGCCCAGGCUACUGCUGGGGUGUCAGUUUGAUUCCUGACCAGGGGAUUUUCACAUGCUGUAGAUACAGCCAAAAAAAAAAAAAAACCCCAAAAAACAAAAACAGGAGAGUGCAAAAUGUCCCUGAAGGAAAGAGGGGAAAAAAAUGUUUCUAGAAGGAAGAAAUGUUUCUAUCUGUUGAAUACCAAAUUUCAGUGUAUUUAAUAAGCAUCCCGUUAGCUUGGGUGGGGGUGGGGUGGGAAUGGAAGCCAGUGGGUGUGGGUAAAAGAGCGAAUGGUUGAUUUUUUUAAAUGGAUACAGUGAUUGUUGAUAACUGUUAAUAAACAGUUUCACUUGUAAAGAA